GUGACAUGAAUGGAGCGGAGAGAAUAGGUUGACUUCCUAUGUCAGCGUCAAAAGGUGUUCCUCAGAAAAGUUGACAUUUCGUUGUCUUGAUACCCUGUGUGAUGUCACCAUUUGAAAUGCAUUGUGGAAUGUUUUGAUUUUCAGUAACACAACGUACAUCGUGAAUCGAACUUAACUUCCGAUGCUAGCAGACGACGCCACUGUCGGACCCAACGAGUUAAAAUUUUAACUCGUUGAUCGGACCAUAAAAGACGCGUGUGUGAUUGUUUUGUGAAACCUUUGGUGUACAUUCUUUAUCUAAGAACUUUGGUGCAGUAGCGCUUGUGAACUUGAAUUAGCAGUGGCGUUCAAAAUGCGAUUCGUAUAUGUGUGUUUUGUGUGAUACUGUUGUGAACUAUACGUAAAGCGCUUGUCUCGAAAAUUUUGAGGGCAAAUGUUUUUUUUGUUUUUCUGAUCAUUCCAGUGUUACAGCUGCUUUUUGGUGUGUGUGGAAAUAGGUUGUCGUGAAGCAGCUUAAUCAUCUCUGGAGUAUGUGCUUGUGGAACAUCUCAGUACAACUCCAGGAUUUUAUCUUGGAUUUUGAGGAGAGACGGGAGGGAACUGGACCUUGGCACUGUACGUCCAGCCUCCUGUGGUGGGCUCGCAGCCAGGAUUGCCUUGCGAGACAAACCAAUUGCCAGACGCCGGUUCUGAUGAGAAUAGCGACAUUCCUGAAUGGGUCAGGCAGAGGGUCACUGAAAUAGAGGUGGAAAGGCGUCUCGAUCUGGCCCUGUUUAAUGAUGGUGCUGAUCACUUUUUUUAGGGUGGGUGGAGUUGCCCAGUGAAAUGUUCAUGCAUUGGAGCCAGAGCAAAACAGUGGUCACGUCUCCACAGCCAUGACACAGCGUGGUACACGUGGCGGCGGCGGCGGCGGCGGUGGCUAAACCUUCCUCUCCAAAGCAGUACCUGGUAAAGUAUGUGUCUCCUAUAAGGGCGCCGCUACACAUAGCACGGGAGGUCACAAUUGCCACCCAACACCACCGCUCUGGUGUCUGCGGACCGACCAACGAUUUACCACCCCUCAAGUUAUCGAUUGAGUCUGCAACAGCAGCAAAAGCAACAGCAUUGGAAACCAUCGCCACAGCCUGGCUAUUCUCAUUGGUGUGACCCGGUAGCGCCACAGUAUCCUCUUCUGUGAUCCAUAUCAGCCUCGCCAGAAUUGGUGUAAACACAAGGUAUGUGUGGCUUGGCGCAUUCAUAUUUGCCUCUCCCCAGCACCUUAUCAACGGAGUGAACAUAGAGCAGUAUUAAUAGUAAUAGAGAUGAUCACAUGGAUAGUGGCAGUUCCCUUUCCCCAUCCUAUCAGUGAAUGACAUCAGGUCAGUGACACCAUAAUCACAGUUAGAAUACACGGUAAUUAGACACUUUCAAGGAGCGAGUCUUGUCCACAAGGAUCAAGAACCCGGCAGGAGGGUAUCGGAACCCUGCUCGUUUUCUAAGAGCAUACCCUUCUGUCGUGGUAAAGGAGCUGCUCAAAGUAGUCAAUGAUAAGUUUCCUCGCCAUUCAAUGCAGUGCGUGCUUUGUAGCAAACAAUCGCAUCCCGACAAUGUUUACGCUCGCGUUGAAGAGGCAACUCUUAAUCAUCUUUGGAGAGAAAAUGGGUUGAUGCCACAGAGCACGUCAAGCAUCUAGUGGUUUCGUAAAUCCAUCUGGAGUGCUAUACUGGCCUGGUUUUCCGAGGUGGAAGUCGGAGGGUCAGUUAAAGCACUCAGUCAGAUACUACACCUGCACAUGUCUAUGAUCCAGUAAAUGGAGGAUUUAGCUAUAUCAAGUUGCCUAAUGAUGUAGCUAAUAACCAGGCAUGCAUUAAUAUCGAAAAUAAAAAGGACCAGGCUUAUUUUACAGACGCCAACACCUGUUUGCCGUUUGUUUUGAUUUACAAAAAGCGUAAGACAACACCUGGCGACAUCAUAUUUUUGCCACAUUAUACGAGAGGGGUCUCAGAGGCCCAAUCCCGAUUUUUUAUCCAGAACUUCCUACUUUCCAUAUCCAAGUUGGUGCUUCCCUUAGUCCCCCCCUCAUAUGCAAGACAAUGGGGUCCUGCAGGGCUCUGUAUUGUGUGUAUCUCUAUUUUUAGAGGCCAUUAAUGGUCUAGCAGCAGCUGUAGGGCCAUCUGUCUCACCUUCUGUUUGCAGACGACUUCAGCAUUUCGUACUGCUCCACCAGUACUGGUGUUCCUGAGCGGUGCCUACAGGGAGCCAUCCACAAGGCACAGUCGUGGGCUCUUGCCCACGGUUUCCAGUUCUCGGCUGCAAAGUCGUAUGUUAUGCACCUCUGUCGGCAUCGUACCAUUCUUCCAAGACCAGCACUUUACCGUGAUGACGAUCUACUCUCUGUAGUGGAGACAUAUCGAUUCUAGGACUUGUUUUUGAUGCCGAUUGACUUGGCUUCCUCGCCGUUAGCUUAAGUGGAAGUGCUGGCAGCACCUCAGUGCCCUCCGAUGCCUGAGCAACACCAACUGGGGUGCAGAUUACUCUACACUGCUGCAGCUCUGCAGAGACCUUGUUCAAUCCCACCUUGACUGUGGGAGUCGCCAGGCGACAGGCGCUUUUAGGAUGAUUCCGGUGACCAGCGUCCUGGUGGAAGCCUGAGUUCCUCCAUCGCAGAUAAUGCGUGCGCAAUUGAUCUCCAGUUACAUUGCACAGUUUCGUAGUUCUCCUGUGCAUCCGAUUUACCAUCUCCUUUUCCCGCCAAUCACGGUUCCUCUCUCUCAUCAGCGGCCCACGUCAGGACUUCCAAUUGCAGUUUGUGUCCAAUCCCUUCUUUCGGAACUGAAGUCCUUGCCCUUACCACCUAUACUUGAGGUCCACUCACAUACACCUCAAUGGUGUUCACCUAGACCGCGGCUUGCUUGGACAUUUCACGUGGCCCUAAGAACUCUGUUAACCCUGCGGCUCUCUGCUGCCAUUACUGCACGAUUCUUCACGUGUAUGGAGACCAUGAAAGGGUUUACGACAGCAGCUCAAUGGUUGACGAUGAUGUCGGCUUUGCGUAUGUCCAUGGAGGACAUAUUGAACAGCAUUCUUUGUCUGAUGGCUGCAGUGUUUUCACUACCGAGCUGGUGGCUAUAUCCCAUGCUCUUGAGUACAUCUGCUCAUUCCCUGGAGAGUAAUCUCUUUUGUGUACUGACUCCUUGAGCAGCCUACAAGCUAUCAAUCAGUGCUACCCUUGUCUUUUGGUAGUGACCAUCCAGGAGUUCAUCUAUGCCCUGAAACGGUCCAGUUGUUCAGUGGUGUUUGUCUGGACCCCAGGUCAUGUCGCAAUCCCAGGCAACAAACUUGCUGACAAGCUGGCCAAACCGGUUAUGCGGAAACCACUUAUGUAGAUUGGCUUCUCUGCAACUGACGUGAGUUCAGUACUAUGCCGCAAGGUUUUACGGCUUUGGGAGACGGAAUUGCAUAGCCACAGUACAUACAACAAACUGUAUGCCAUUAAAGAGACUACAAAUGUGUUGGAGACCUCCACAUGGGCCUCUCACAGGGACUCUGUGGUUCUCUGUCAGCUCCUUAUUGGCCACGCUUGGGUGACACAUGGCUACUUUCGGUGUUGUUGCGGCGCUAGGCCGACAGUGGCCCAUGUCUUGGUAAGCUGUCCUUUGGCUGCUCUGGGGCAGACUCUGUUGCCGGACUAGAUGCCAUUAAUUUUAGCUGACAAUGCCUCAUUGGCUAAUUUAGUGACGGUGGGUUUUAUCAUUAUAUAUAAGUUUUAGCACAUGUCCUUUGUCCCUUUGUGUUCUGCACUGAUGUUUUAAUAUGUCACAGAGUGGCUGACUUUUUCCUUUUAUUCUCUUGGUCGGCCAGCCACGGUCAUCUGCUCUCUUGUUUUUACCCCUUCUACCUGUUUCUUGCUGCUCUUUGUGGUUUUCUUUUCCUGUUUUGUUCAUUGUAGUGUUGGUUGUCCUCCUGUCGUUCUUCGGGUUCUUCCGUUCUCCUGUUAUUGUGCUGUAUAUCUCCUUUCUUUUCUUCUUUCCCUUGUGUACUUAUUUUACCGUGAGCAAAGGGAUCAAUGACCUCGCAGUUUGGUCCCUUCCACCAGUCUUUAAAACCAACCAACCAUGGUCACUCCUGGCUCAUGAGAGAGAUUAGGAUCGUAGGGAUCAUCCUGAACAUCCCGGUACAUAUCGUAUAGGUGACAAUAUUCGUGUGUGUUAUGACUUUGAUGGUGUAAAGUUCCCCAUCAAGAUGCAGGACAUACCUAAAUUUGAGGUGCAGAAUACCGGAAUAUUGGUUCAUUUUUAUGGCCUGGAGAAGAAAAGUAUGUCAGAUAAGCAAGGUAUUGUCAUCGGACGCCUUAAUUUCUCAAAAUUUGCGGAUGAGUGAGAGUUGCAUGUAAACAUGCUGCUUUUCUCUGAAGGUGAUAAUUAUCAUUAUGUUUGGAUCAAGCCAUGUCCCGACUCCUUUCCACCCAACUGAGUAAGCAUCAUAAUGGUAAGCAGCAUAAGGUGCCUCAAUGCCUCUUCCUCAGACAGGUUAUUAGUUGUGCACCUAGUAGAUAGUACAUUGCAGUUCCAAGGACCCAGUAUGUGUUGUUAUGUGUACUGAGGAAAGCAAAUACGUAAGGUUUAAGAAUGCUCACCACCAGGAGUGAUUCCUGUUUACAGUGUAUGCGGACUUCAAAUGCCUCCUCACUCCUGUGACCUGCUGUGAAGGUGACCUGGCAGCAUCACAUACCACCUUUACAGAAACACACAUACAAUAUGCAGCAGCGAACCAAAUUGUAUUGUCCUGUGAUUAGAAAACUGCUACAAAUCUUAUGUCUGCGAUAAUCCUUCAGUGUGGCUGCUCACUGAGCUCAUAAAACUUUAUGGGAGUUUAGUAUGCUUUGCAGUGACACAUUACCUGACCAAAUCGAAGGAGACUGAAGAUUUGUAUAAUAACAAGGUUGAUUAUCGUAUUUGCUUGCUGCCAUUAGAAAAGAGGAAACUCUUUGUAUCAGUCACUGUCAUCUUAUAGGGAAGUUCCGUGGCGCAGCUCACAGUACGUGCAAUUUCAAGUACCAGCUUCCAAGGCAUUUUCUUCCAUAAUUUAAGCAGGUUUGAUGCUUGCUUUCUAGUUGAGCACUUAACUGAUGUCGGUUGGGAGAAAAUCGGGUCAGUGUCCUACCUGAGAGUGUCGGGAAAUACAUUUCAUUUUCCAAAUGAAGGGUAACAUGAAUUAUGCUGCUCUUUCUUGAUACACUGUUUUAUUCAGGUGCCUCUACAGAAACUCAUUGAAACUGUACCUCAGUGUUGCGUUUCCUGAUGAGGAAAAGUUUCAACAUUUUCCCGUAUGAGUAUGUGGAUAGUAUUGCGAAACUCAACGAGGCCAGCUGACAUAACUGCGUUCUCCAGCAACCUUACAGGCGACGCCAUCACGGGUGCAGAGUAUGAGCGUGCCAUGAAUGUCUGAUUGGAACUUGAGGUCCGCACUUUAAGCCAAUAUGCACAGGUUUACAUGGACACAGACGUGCACUUACUUGCGGAUGUUUUUGAGAAAUUCUGGAGUCUAUGUAUUGCCACACUUUCUCUGGAUCCCGCCUUUUAUUACAUGGCACCAGGGUUGUCUUGAGACGCAAUGCUUAAGAAAAUGAAGUGAUACUGACAUACUUCAUUUCUUUUAGCGAGGUAUUUGUGGGGGACUUUGCCAUUGUAUCCACAGGCAUGCAAACGCGAAUAACCCACAGGUUUGACGCGUCUCUUGAUUCAAGUUACAUAAUGUACCUGGAUGUAAAUAACUUAAAUGGGCACGCCAUGCAUUGAUCACUGCUGAUUGGCGAAUUUCAGUGUAUGCCAGAAGACGAAUUCAAGGGAUUGGGUGGAAAAAUCCUGGGGGGUAUGGCAGCUGAUUCUGAGAUAGGAUAUGUGGUGGUGGCAGAACCCACAUACUGUAUUGGUUAGCGUGAUACACAUGCUUAUUUGCCAUUGUGUUCAGAGCAACUAGGUCUGUAAGGCGGCUCCACCCCAAAACUGAUUUGUUAUGCCAGGUGUUUUCUCAAGCCACAUAUGACCAAUGUAUAUUUUGUCAUCAGUGACAAUUAGGUCAGUUGGACUCCAGACCUCGUGGUGAACACACUGGAUGGUGCAACUAUCUAUGACACCUCAAAAUUGUGUAAAUAAAGAAUGCAUAAAAAAAUAAGACUUACGUCUGUCCUAUCCAGCAGCCCAGCACAGACUUGAGUCCUCCUCUAGUCAACUUCUAGAUGGGGCAGGAGAGAGGGUUAGGUUGGUGGUGGUAGCCCAGUUGACCUGUUUUCCCACCAUGUCAUUGUGACUUGGCCACGUCUAUGGCCACCAUCUUGAAUAAAUUUGGCAACAAUUUAGUAGGUCAUGUUAUCUUUGUCCUACUGCUAUCAUAAUACUCCCACAAAGCCAACAGCUGUUUCCUUAAAGGUCUUACAUUGUGCUAGUCUGACUACUUUGCUUGCUUCCUUGCCAUGGAUGAGUGUGUGUCAAACUCUCUGAUCAGCUUCGAACAGCUGAAUGCAGUUCUCAUUGUAGUCUUCUACCAGCUUGUAUGUUUGAGUGUUAACGUUUCGUAUCCUGUCUGCAAACUGCCGAAUAGAUUCGUCCCAUCGAUCCACAGACUAUGAAGUUGCUCUUUAUAGAAUCGGAUAGAAUUUUUGCAUUUGAAUCUCUGAACAACUGUUGCUUUGAAUUCAUUGUGAUCUGACUUCACGCAAGUGGGCUUCACACUGAUGGAAUCUUGUGCGAUUCCCAGAAUUCUUAAUUUAGCAACUGGUAAUUUAUUUGAAUCAGUCCAGGAACCUAACAAGGCAUCUCCUUCAGGUUUAGGGGAGAACACUUUCACACUUUCCUAGGGUGUAUUGCUAAACACGGGUAGUGAUGGUAAUAAUUGGAAUUUUUUUAUGUGGCCACCAUGGCAAGAGCUAUUAUUUUAAAAGUCAUGUGAAAGGCUGUGCUCAGAAUUUUAUAUGGAGUUCAAAUCUGUGAUCAGAAUUAAAGGAAUAAUUUUAUUUCUCUUUCUUCCUUUAUGGUAAGGACUGGUUUGGAUAUACACUGUGGCAUUGCCAUGUACUUGACUAAGUUUCUGAGUCUUGUGCAACUUGCACAAGUUGUUCUUGAUUUAGGAAUAUUAUCAAAAUGGUUUUAUCUUUUUUUGAAGCAAAAGGGGGAGGGAGCUCGAGGGAAUGAAAGUAACAUCUCUUUAGUGUGUAGGUUAUCUCAGAGUAAUCAUAAGUACUUUUUCUGCAUUGGACUAUAAUAUUAAUAAAGAUCUCAACAAAAUAUAUAUUUUAUUACAUUAAAAUACAUUUCACUGUACAAACUCAAGCAGACUCUUUUUUUUUACUUUUUGCAAAUACCAUAGUAACUCCAUCAAUAUUUAUAUCUUGCUGGAUAUACAAUAAAUCUAGACUAGUGAGUCGUUAUUCGCCCAUAGCUGUUCUAAGCCAAGUCUUGAGGCGGCUAAGAGUUGAGAAUGUACGUUCUGCUGUUGCUACACUAACUGGUAGCGUGGAAAACAUUUUUAGAAUCGUGCAAAUGGAACGGUUCAUUUGUCGCACACAUCGAUUAUAUAAAGAAGAGACUCCAGAAUUUUAAGACCUGCCUCGACAUGGUGCUUCUGCCUAGCAACACAAAAUUCGA